rnacentral:rRNA from 1 species
AACGAACGCUGGCGGCAUGCCUAACACAUGCAAGUCGAACGUGAUCCGGGACUUCGGUUUCGGUGAAAGUGGCGGAACGGGUGAGUAACGCGUGGGAACCUGCCCAGUGGUAGGGGAUAACCGCGGGAAACUGCGGCUAAUACCCUAUGUGCCCUGCGGGGCAAAGAUUCAUCGCCAUUGGAGGGGCCCGCGUCGGAUUAGGUAGUUGGUGGGGUAACGGCCUACCAAGCCUUCGAUCCGUAGCUGGUCUGAGAGGAUGAUCAGCCACACUGGGACUGA